rnacentral:rRNA from 1 species
CCUACGGGAGGCUGCAGUAGGGAAUAUUGCUCAAUGGGGGAAACCCUGAUGCAGCGACGCCGCGUGGACGAUGAAGUUUUUAGGAUUGUAAACUCCUUUUGUGAGAGAAGAUAAUGACGGUAUCUCACGAAUAAGCACCGGCUAACUCCGUGCCAGCAGCCGCGGUAAUACGGAGGGUGCAAGCGUUACUCGGAAUGACUGGGCGUAAAGGGUGCGCAGGCGGGCUUGUAAGUCUGAAGUGAAAUCCUGUAGCUUAACUCCAGAACUGCAUUGGAAACUAUGAGUCUAGAGUGUGGGAGAGGUAGGUGGAAUUCUUAGUGUAGGGGUAAAAUCCGUAGAUAGCAAGAGGAAUACUCAUUGCGAAGGCGACCUACUGGAACAUUACUGACGUUCAUGCACGAAAGCGUGGGGAGCAAACAGGAUUAGAUACCCGGGUAGUC